CCUACGGGCGGCAGCAGUGGGGAAUAUUGCACAAUGGGGGAAACCCUGAUGCAGCGACGCCGCGUGAGUGAAGAAGUAUUUCGGUAUGUAAAGCUCUAUCAGCAGGAACGAGACAAGACGGUACCUGACUAAGAAGCCCCGGCUUACUACGUGCCAGCAGCCGCGGUAAUACGUAGGGGGCACGCGUUAUCCGGAAUCACUGGGUGUAAACGGAGCGUAGGCGGCUGUGCAAGCCUAAAGGGAAAGGCGGGGGCCCAACCCCUGGAGUGCUUGGGAAACUGUACGGCUGGAGUGCAGGAGAGGUAAGUGGAAUUCCUGGUGUAGCGGUGAAAUGCGUAGAUAUUAGGAGGAACACCAGUGGCGAAGGCGGUGUACUGGAGUGUAACUGACGUUGAGGCUCGAAAGCGUGGGGAGCAAACAGGAUUAGAUACCCUUGUAGUC
rnacentral:rRNA from 1 species